GAGGCUUUAGCUUAAGUUAAAGUAUCUGAGUUGCAAUCAGGGGAUGCGUUUAAGAUUUCGCAAGUCUUG
rnacentral:tRNA from 1 species